GAUUAGCUAGUUGAUGGGGUAACGGCUCACCGGCGCCACGAUGCCUCGAUGGUCUGACAAGAUGACCGCCACUUGGAACUGAGACAGCUUCCAACUCCUACGGGAGGCAGCAAUGGGGAAUAUUGCACACUGGGCAGCAUGCCAGAUGCCACCAUGCCGUGUGUGUGUAGAAGCCUUCAGGUUGUAAAGUCUCGUUCUCAGCGGGAAAGAAAGGAGAUUAAUGCCUUUAAUAAUUGGGCCCAUUGACGUACUACCCAAGCAGCUACCUCGGCUAACUCCGUGCCAGCAGCAGGCGGUUAAUAAGGCAGGCGUGCAAGCCGUAAUUAUCGGAAUUUAUCUGGGCGUAAAGCGCGCUGGCAGGGUGGUUUGUUAAGUUCUGAUGGUGAAACUCCCCCGGGCUCCAACCGUGGGAAGGUGCAUGUGAUACUGGGCAGAGCUUGAAGUUCUGCGGUAGAGGAGGUAGAAUUUCCAUGUGGUAUGCGGUGAAUGGCGUAGAGAUCAUGGAAGAACUCCAGGGGCGGAGGGCGCCCUCUGUGUACGAAGAUGACCGUUCAGCGUGAGAACGCGGGGAACCAACCAGGAUAAGUUACCUGGUUAUUCCAGCCGUUAACGGAGAUUGAUAAGUGUGUGGGGCCCUCCGCCCGUGGCUUCUGGAGCUAACGCGUUAAGCACUCCGCCUGGGGAGUACGGCCGCAAGGUUAAAACUCAAAUGAAUUGACGCGGGGCCCGCACAACGCGGUGGUAGCAUGUGGUUUAAUUCGAUGCAACGCGAAGAACCUUAACCUGGUCUUGACAUCCUCUGAAAUUUUCAGAGAUUCGAGAAUUUCCUUCGGGAACAGUGAGACAGGUGGUGCAUGGUUGUCGUCAGUCUCGUGUUGUGAAAUGUUGGGUUAAGUCCCGCAACGAGCGCAACCCUUAUCCUUAGUUGCCCAUCGGUCCGGCCGGCAUUCAAAGGAGACUCCCAGGGCUAACCGGGAGGAAGGGGGGGAGGAGUCCAAUUCUCCAUCCCCCUGUGACCCAGGGUCCCCACUUGUCCAAGGGCGCAUCCAAAGAGAACCGACCCCGGGAGAGCAAGCAAUCUUCAUAAACUGUUUUCUAUUCCGGAUUGGAGUUUCCAAUUGCACUCCAUGAAGUGGGAAUCGUUAGUAAUCGUGGAUCACAAUGCCCCGUGAAUAGUUUCCCGGCCUUUACCACACCCCCCGUCCACCAUGGGAUUGGGCCAAAGGAAGUAUAGGUUACCCUUUGGCCCCACG
rnacentral:rRNA from 1 species